rnacentral:rRNA from 1 species
GACGAACGUUGGCGGUGCGCUUAAUGCAUGCAAGUCGAGGGAGAUCCAGUCGUUCCGUAAGGCGCGGCUGGGGAAACCGGCGAACGGGUGCGUAACACGUGAGGAACCUGCCCCGAAGACCGGGGUAGCCCGGGGAAACCCGGAUUAAUACCGGAUACCCUCUUUGGACCACAUGGUCUGUUGAGGAAAUGGUCCGCUGCUUCGGGAUGGCCUCGCGGCCUAUCAGCUUGUUGGUGAGGUAAUGGCUCACCAAGGCAAAGACGGGUAGCUGGUCUGAGAGGACGAUCAGCCACACUGGGACUGAGACACGGCCCAGACUCCUACGGGAGGCAGCAGCAGGGAAUAUUGCACAAUAGGCGAAAGCCUGAUGCAGCGACACCGCGUGCGGGAUGAAGGCCUUCGGGUUGUAAACCGCUUUCAGGAGGGACGAAAA